rfam:Ictidomys tridecemlineatus contig054858, whole genome shotgun sequence.
GUGGUUGUGGCUCAGUGGUAGAGAGUAGGUCUUGCAUGUGUAAGGUACUGGGUUCGAUCCUCAGCACCACA